AUAGGUUAUGUAAGAAAUUGUCAGGUCUACUUUUGGGACUCGAUAAAUGGUACGAUCAGAUCCACAGAUCUUGUAACAUUUCUCUCAGCUCAUGUGCAUAGUCUAUACUAUAUAAAUUUUUAUUACAAUUAUUAAUCAAAUUUCUAUUUGCGUUAAAGUACAAAUUUUGAUGUGCUUAGCACUAUUCUUGAAAUAAUAAGCAUUUUUUUUUUUACUUCUUUUAUUAUUGUCUUGUUUUCUCCUAAAAUAAGAUUAAGCUCAACUUGCAAGUGAUGAACUGUAGUACUAUACCGGUGAUUGAGACAUUUUUUUAACCAACUGUUUGUCAGAUUAAACAGUCUUUCUCUCCCUAAUAUAAAUUAAACUUGUAACGUCGCUUUAUAAAAAAAAAUUAAGCUCAACUUUAAUAAACUACAUGCAUGAAAUUAAUGCAACCAAAAAAAAAAAAAAGAGGUUACAAUUCGAAGG
rnacentral:lncRNA from 1 species